rnacentral:rRNA from 1 species
ACGGCUCAGUAACACGUAGUCAACCUAACUCGUGGACGUGGAUAAUCUCGGGAAACUGAGGAUAAACCACGAUAGAUAACGGUGCCUGGAAUGGCCCAUUGUCCAAACAGUUUACUGCCACGGGAUGGGACUGCGGCCUAUCAGCUUGUUGGUGAGGUAAUGGCCCACCAAGGCUAUAACAGGUACGGGCUCUGAGAGGAGAAGCCCGGAGAUGGGUACUGAGACACGGACCCAGGCCCUAUGGGGCGCAGCAGGCGAGAAACCUUAGCAAUGUGCGAAAGCACGACUGGGUCAGUCCGAGUGAUUUCUGAUAAAGGAAUCUUUUGCCCGUCCUAAAAGCACGGGCGAAUAAGGGGUGGGCAAGUCUGGUGUCAGCCGCCGCGGUAAUACCAGCACCUCGAGUGGUCAGGACGAUUAUUGGGCCUAAAGCAUCCGUAGCUGGUUUUGCAAGUCUCCGGUUAAAUCCACCUGCUUAACAGAUGGGCCGCUGGAGAUACUACAAGACUAGGGAGUGGGAGAGGCAGACGGUAUUCGGGGGGUAGGGGUAAAAUCCUCUGAUCCUUUGAGGACCACCAGUGGCGAAGGCGGUCUGCCAGAACACGUUCGACAGUGAGGGAUGAAAGCUGGGGGAGCAAACCGGAUUAGAUACCCGGGUAGUCCCAGCUGUAAACGAUGCAGACUCGGUGAUGCAUUGGCUUCUUGCCAAUGCAGUGCCGCAGGGAAGCCGUUAAGUCUGCCGCCUGGGAAGUACGGUCGCAAGAUUGAAACUUAAAGGAAUUGGCGGGGGGAG